rnacentral:rRNA from 1 species
AGUGAACGCUGGCGGUAGGCCUAACACAUGCAAGUCGAACGGCAGCACAGUAAGAGCUUGCUCUUACGGGUGGCGAGUGGCGGACGGGUGAGGAAUACAUCGGAAUCUACUUUUUCGUGGGGGAUAACGUAGGGAAACUUACGCUAAUACCGCAUACGUCCUACGGGUGAAAGCAGGGGAUCUUCGGACCUUGCGCGAUUGAAUGAGCCGAUGUCGGAUUAGCUAGUUGGCGGGGUAAAGGCCCACCAAGGCGACGAUCCGUAGCUGGUCUGAGAGGAUGAUCAGCCACACUGGAACUGAGACACGGUCCAGACUCCUACGGGAGGCAGCAGUGGGGAAUAUUGGACAAUGGGCGCAAGCCUGAUCCAGCCAUACCGCGUGGGUGAAGAAGGCCUUCGGGUUGUAAAGCCCUUUUGUUGGGAAAGAAAAGCAGCAGGUUAAUACCCCGCUGUUCUGACGGUACCCAAAGAAUAAGCACCGGCUAACUACGUG